rnacentral:lncRNA from 1 species
GUCGGAUCCCCUGGAUCUGGAGUUACAGACUGAUGUGAGCUGCCAUGUGGGUGCUAGGACUUAAAUCCCUUUCUUCCUUCCUUUCUCAUGAGAUUACUAAAGUCUUUGGGCUGGAUGAUCUGCCCAUGGAGCUACGCCCUCGCAGGAGCCUAGGCUGGAAGAUGUCGGAAAGGUACGAGUCAC